UUCACCUGUGCGAAUGGUCUGUUGUCGCCUUCCACCGCAGCUCUGAUGGCCGAACAAAUCAUCCUUCUUUCUGCCUUCCGCUGCUGACUUCUCCUACGGGCUCUGGCAAUUUAUGGCGAAAUGUUCCGGUCCGGAUCAUUUUUCCCAAAUAUUCGGUUCCUGACCUCUUGGUAGUGUGCUUCUCGGACUGCCAUAGGUUCACGUUUCGACCAUUUAAUGCUAUCCUUAUCAUUACGCAUGCAAUUUGACGAGGCUUUCACUUGUUCGUGGCAAACGGAUUGGAGCGUGGUUCCUCGUUCUUGCCCAAGCUCCUCACACCGUUUCCCGUUUGGCAUCGAGUACAUCUUGGAGUCCUCACACCGGGUAGUCCACACUUGAAACAGAACACCUUUAACACCUCCGAUUCACACGCGUUGAAUGGGUGUCCCACGGAUCCACAAUUCCAGCAUGUACACUCUCUUCUCCGACUGAUUCCGGACAAAGCUCAUCGAUCCUCGGACGAUCUUUAUACCCUCGGUGAGUCUCGAGGUUGCUCGGAUAUCGGGUCCAUCGAGUCGCCAAUAUUCUCUC